rnacentral:rRNA from 1 species
CGUGUAGGUGGAACUUUAAGUCGGUGGUGAAAGCCUGCAGCUUAACUGCAGAAUUGCCCUCGAUACUGAAGUUCUUGAGUGCGGCAGAGGGAGAUGGAAUUCAUGGUGUAGCGGUGAAAUGUGUAGAUAUCAUGAAGAACACCGGUAGCGAAGGCGGUCUCCUGGUCCGUAACUGACACUGAGGCGCGAAAGCGUGGGGAGCAAACAGGAUUAGAUACCCUGGUAGUCCACGCCUUAAACGAUGGGUACUCGGUGCUGGGCCGCAAGGUUCAGUGCCAAAGCUAACGCAUUAAGUACCCCACCUGGGGAUACGAUCGCAAGGUUGAA